rnacentral:rRNA from 1 species
CCUACGGGAGGCAGCAGUGAGGAAUAUUGGUCAAUGGGCGUAAGCCUGAACCAGCCAAGUCGCGUGAGGGAUGAAGGUUCUAUGGAUCGUAAACCUCUUUUAUAAGGGAAUAAAGUGUGGGACGUGUCCUGUGUUGUAUGUACCUUAUGAAUAAGGAUCGGCUAACUCCGUGCCAGCAGCCGCGGUAAUACGGAGGAUCCGAGCGUUAUCCGGAUUUAUUGGGUUUAAAGGGUGCGUAGGCGGCCUUUUAAGUCAGCGGUGAAAGUCUGUGGCUCAACCAUAGAAUUGCAAUUGAAACUGGGAGGCUUGAGUAUGUUUGAGGCAGGCGGAAUGCGUGGUGUAGCGGUGAAAUGCUUAGAUAUCACGAAGAACCCCGAUUGCGAAGGCAGCCUGCUAAGCCAUGACUGACGCUGAUGCACGAAAGCGUGGGGAUCAAACAGGAUUAGAUACCCCGGUAGUC